UAAUUUUUCGGGCUAAUCAGUAAAUAUUUUCUAUUAACCCUAGUUUCCUUCCCGUUUCUGCUUUCCGUCUCUGUGCUCUCAUUUUUGUUCAUCUUCAAGGUAUGGAACUCUUUGGGCCUUGAUCUCACUUUCGCAAUCAAGUUCAAUAGGUAGGGUUUUCUACCGAUUCGUCUUCGCUCAUCUUCGUCUAGAGGGUUCGUAGUUCGUUUCCCCUUCUUCCGCGGCUUCCUCUAUUCGCCCACUCGAUUUUCACCAGAUUCAUGGUUUCUCACCAAUCUGCCAUGACCUGGGGUCAUCAGAGCCUAGGUUAGGCGCGUUCGUUUGAGCUAAGUGUUUUUCUUAACUUUUCUGUUGUAAAUUUGACUUUCAGAAUUUUGUUGCAUUGAGCUAAGUUUGUAUUCAUGGAGCUAAUUUGAUCUUUGUUCUUCUCCCUUUUUAAUUUUAAAGGAUUAUAGGAACAUAAAUCUUUAAUCAGAAUGUAGCAUGGAUCUUGCUCUGAACUACUUUGUUUUAUUUUAUUUUUGCAAUAUCCUAAGGCAAUUGCAGCAGGAGACAGCCUCUAUGCGUGGAAGUCAAAUGUUGAUGCAGCAGGGUUUCUACUGCACAUUUGGUUCUAUGAAAGUGUCCUCUGAUCAGGCACAGCUGUUUGCAAUGCUUGUGCAGAUUCUUGGAGAAGAACGGUGUAUUGAAGUUGGCGUUUAUACAGUUACUUUUAAAUGAACAAGCCCUCAUUGAAAAAGUGGAGAAUCAUGAUGUGCCCUUGUAUGAUGCUAUAAAGUUUUCCUCACCUAGUCCUGAGAAGGCUGCUAGUGCUUCUGAGAAUGAGAACAAUUUUAUUCAAAUACUUCUCACUAGGUUACUGGUUAGACCUGAUGCUGCACCCCUUUUUGCAGAAUUGAUUCAUCUCUUUGGUAGGUCACUAGAGGAUUCAAUGUUGUUGCAAGCUAAAUGGUUCCUUGGAGGCUAGGAUGUCCUCUUUGGCCGGAAGGCCAUUAGACAAAGGUUGCAUAACAUUGCUGUUAAUAAAAAACUUUCUCUUAAGACCCAAUUUUGGGAACCUUGGGGUUGGUGUAGGCCGACUACUGAUUCAUUGACUAUAGAAGGGGAUAACAAGAAGUUUGACAACACCUCUCUUGAAGGAGAAGUUGUUGAAGAGGGAACAUAUUUGAAAAGGUGCCAGCAGCAAGUGAUUGAGAGGGCUCUUACCGAGUUGCUUCUUCCUUCCAUAGAUCAAAGCUCUGAUGAAGCUCGCAAUUCUUUUGCAACUGACUUGGUAAAACAAUUGAGUUAUAUUGAGACACACAUAAUUGCUAUUACAGGUGGAAGUAAACCAUUGGGAAGUGCUCCUGCUGGAGUUGAAGGUCAGCCAAAUAAAGUAAAUAACCGCAAAAAUUUGAGAACUGGAAGUGCUGCAUUAUCUAGACGACCAAUAGUGGCAACAAAUUCUUCUCCACCAUCUCCUGCAGCCCUACGAGCUUCUAUGUCAUUACAAUUGCAGUUGCUCCUGAGAUUUCUUCCUACUCUUUGCACUGACAGUAACUGGAAAAUUGUGGCCAAAGUUGUAUGAAAUCAAGGUUAGUCCUAUAACGACACCCAUUGAUGAAGGAACCAUUGAGGAACUUUGCUUGCCAGAUAUCCACCACAAGGAGCUCAAACUCAAUAGACAAUAUUUGCUAAGCCAAAUUAAAAGGAAGACCUUAAGUUGAUUGAGGACUUUAAAAUUGGCUUUGGAAUAAAUGUAAGAUACAAGAUAUUUUGACAUUAAAUAUAAUUGUAUGUUUAUCUUUUA